AUUGAACGCUGGCGGCAGGCCUAACACAUGCCAGUCGAGCGGAUGAAGGGUGCUUGCUCCUGGAUACAGCGGCGGACGGGUGAGUAAUGCCUAGGAAUCUCCCUGGUAGUGGGGGAUAACGUCCGAAAACGGGCGCUAAUACCGCAUACGACCUGAGGGAGAAAGAGGGGGAUCUUCGGACCUAUCGCUAUCAGAUGAGCCUAGGUCGGAUUAGAUAGUUGGUGGGGUAAAGGCCUACCAAGACGACGAUCCGUAACUGGCCUGAGAGGAUGAUCAGUCACACUGGAACUGAGACGCGGUACAGACUCCUACGGGAGGCAGCAGAGGGGAAUGUUGGACUAGGGGCGGAAGCCUGGUCCAGCCAUGCCGCGUGGGUUAAGAAGAUCUUCGGAUUGUAAAGCUCUUUUGGUUGGAAGGAAGGGCAGUAAGUUAAUACCGUGCUGUUUUGACGUUACCGUAAGAAUAAGCACCGGCUAACUUCGUG
rnacentral:rRNA from 1 species